rnacentral:rRNA from 1 species
GGUACGGGGGGGGUAAGCGUUGUUUCGGAAUUACUGGGGCGUAAAGGGCUCGGUAGGCGGCCAAACUAAGUCAAGACCGUGAAAUCCCCUCAGGCUUAACUGGGGAACUGCGUCUGAUACUGGAUGGGCUUGGAUCCGGGGAGAGGGAUGCGGAAUUCCAGGUGUAGCGGUAGAAAUGCGUAGAGAUGGUGGAGGAACACCAGUGGCGAAGGCGCUUUCUGGUCUGUAACUGACGCUGAGGCGACGAAAGGCGUGGGGAGCAAACAGG